GUUGUACUAAUAAGAAAGAAGAUGAGUGUCCUAUUGAUGAUCCUAUCAGUUGUACUAGUAGUAUCUACAUUGACUGGAUCUACUAACAAUUACUACAAUGGUAAGAUACUGACUACUAUACUAAUGGAUAAUAUACCUGUUUGAAUUAUAUAUACUAUCAACAAUAAGAACCUACUGAAGUUAAAGAUUGCUCUGUUACUAAAAAUUUUAUUGAAGUCACUAAUUUUUCAAUGAUUCCAUUUCCACUGAAACGUGGGGGAAAAUUCCAUUUGCAAGCAGUAUUAAAGAUCAGUGAGUGACAACAAUUACAAAUAAACAUGAAUCCAUUUAUAGAGAGAACCAUACAUUGGGGUAUACUGCAUGCCACACUGAAAUACAAUUUCAGAAAUUAUACUAACAUUACUUUCUUUGAUGUAAAGUAUAAUUUAUGUGACUACUUUGAUGAUAUUAUUAAGCAACAAUGCCCAGUACAUCCACAAAUAUAUCAUAUAAAUAGUCACACUACAAUGUCAAAACUCCUUUGGCCAGGUCAGUAUUAUGGUAAAGCAACUGCUUACAAUGAGAAAGGAGAACAAAUAAUGUGUAUAAUGAAACA